rnacentral:rRNA from 1 species
AACGAACGUUGGCGGCGUGGAUUAGGCAUGCAAGUCGAACGCGAAUCCCUGGGCAACUGGGGAGGAGAGUGGCGAAAGGGGCAGUAAGGCGUGGGUAACCUACCCUCCGGGCCGGGAUAGCUUCGGGAAACUGAAGGUAAUACCGGGCGACGCAGCGAGAUCGCAUGGUCUUGCUGCCAAAGGUCCGCCGCCGGGGGAGGGGCUCACGUGGUAUUAGCUAGACGGCGGGGUAACGGCCCACCGUGGCAAAGAUGCCUAGCAGGUGUGAGAGCACGACCUGCGCCACUGGCACUGAGACACUGGCCAGACACCUACGGGUGGCUGCAGUCGAGGAUCUUCGGCAAUGGGCGCAAGCCUGACCGAGCGAGGCCGCGUGUGCGAUGAAGGCCUUCGGGUUGUAAAGCACUGUCGAGGGGGAGGAAGCCGCAAGGUUGACCUAUCCCUGGAGGAAGCACGGGCUAAGUUCGUG